AACGAACGCUGGCGGCAUGCCUAACACAUGCAAGUCGAACGAGACCUUCGGGCUUUGUUGCGCUCGUGUGCGUAACGCGUGGGAACCUGCCCUUAGGUUCGGUAUACCUCCCCGAAAGGGGAGCUCAUACCGGUUAAUGUCUUCCCACCUAAGAUUUCUCGCCUUUUGAUGGGCCCGCGUUGGAUUCGCUGGUUGGUAGUGUAAAAGCAUACCAAGGCGACGUUCCAUAGCUGGUCGGUGAGGAGGAGCAUCCCCGCUGGGAAUGAGACACGGCCCAGACUGGGAGGGGAGGCAGCAGUGGGGAAUAUUGGACAAUGGGCGAAAGCCUGAUAAAGCAAUGCCGCGGGAGAGAGGAAGGCCUUAGGGUUGUAAAGCUGUUUUAGCCGGGAUGAUAAUGACAGUAACGGGAGAAUAAGCACCGGCUAACUCCGUG
rnacentral:rRNA from 1 species